CUGUCUCUCGGAGUUCCUCUGAACGCUUCAUCUACAUGAUGGCCUUGCUAGUCUAAACUGGUACUCCUUAUAGGCCUAUAAGAAGUGAUGAAGUGUUUGGGGGAACUCUUGGAUUCAA
rnacentral:pre_miRNA from 1 species